rnacentral:rRNA from 1 species
UGGUCAAGUUAUUAAGGGUGCAGGGCGGAUGCCUUGGCACUAGGAGCCGAUGAAGGACGUGAUAAGCUGCGAUAAGCUUCGGGGAGUUGCACGUAAACUUUGAUCCGAAGAUUUCCGAAUGAGGAAACUCACUUAGAGUAAUGUCUAAGUAUCAUUAAGUGAAUACAUAGCUUAAUGAGGGGAACUCAGGGAACUGAAACAUCUAAGUACCUGAAGGAAGAGAAAGAAAUUCGAUUCCGUAAGUAGCGGCGAGCGAACGCGGAUUAGCCCAAACCAAUAAAGUUUUCUUUAUUGGGGUUGCGGACAUAUCAUAACGAAGAGAUAUCGUAAUUGAAGAGGUUUGGAAAGACCCACCACAGAAGGUAAUAGUCCUGUAUGUUAAACGAGAAGACUUUAGAUAUGAUCCAGAGUACCACGGGACACGUGAAACCCUGUGGGAAGCAGGAGGG